CGGCCGGGUCCUCCGCAAUGAGCCCCUGUGAACCUGGUCAGGUCCGGAAGGAAGCAGCCAUAAGCAGGUUUGUUCAUGUGCCGGGGGAGUGCCUGGCCCGAGC
rnacentral:SRP_RNA from 1 species